AUUGAACGCUGGCGGCAUGCUUUACACAUGCAAGUCGGACGGCAGCGGGGUAGUGCUUGCACUACUGCCGGCGAGUGGCGAACGGGUGAGUAAUAUAUUGGAACGUACCGAGUAAUGGGGGAUAACCAAUCGAAAGAUUGGCUAAUACCGCAUACGCUCUGAGGAGGAAAGCAGGGGACCUUCGGGCCUUGCGUUAUUCGAGCGGCCAAUAUCUGAUUAGCUCGUUGGUGGGGUAAGGGCCUACCAAGGCGACGAUCAGUAGCGGGUCUGAGAGGAUGAGCCGCCACACUGGGACUGAGACACGGCCCAGACUCCUACGGGAGGCAGCAGUGGGGAAUUUUGGACAAUGGGCGCAAGCCUGAUCCAGCCAUGCCGCGUGUCUGAAGAAGGCCUUCGGGUUGUAAAGGACUUUUGUUAGGGAAGAAAAAGGAGCGGUUAAUACCCGUUUCUGCUGACGGUACCUAAAGAAUAAGCACCGGCUAACUACGUG
rnacentral:rRNA from 1 species